UGGGGAAUUUUGGACAAUGGGCGAAAGCCUGAUCCAGCAAUGCCGCGUGUGUGAAGAAGGCCUUCGGGUUGUAAAGCACUUUUGUCCGGAAAGAAAUGGCUCUGGUUAAUACCUGGGGUCGAUGACGGUACCGGAAGAAUAAGGACCGGCUAACUACGUGCCAGCAGCCGCGGUAAUACGUAGGGUCCAAGCGUUAAUCGGAAUUACUGGGCGUAAAGCGUGCGCNGGCGGUUGUGCAAGACCGAUGUGAAAUCCCCGAGCUUAACUUGGGAAUUGCAUUGGUGACUGCACGGCUAGAGUGUGUCAGAGGGGGGUAGAAUUCCACGUGUAGCAGUGAAAUGCGUAGAGAUGUGGAGGAAUACCGAUGGCGAAGGCAGCCCCCUGGGAUAACACUGACGCUCAUGCACGAAAGCGUGGGGAGCAAACAGGAUUAGAUACCCUGGUAGUCCACGCCCUAAACGAUGUCAACUAGUUGUUGGGGAUUCAUUUCCUUAGUAACGUAGCUAACGCGUGAAGUUGACCGCCUGGGGAGUACGGUCGCAAGAUUAAAAGCUC
rnacentral:rRNA from 1 species